AGAACGAACGCUGGCGGCAUGCCUAACACAUGCAAGUCGAACGAGACCUUCGGGUCUAGUGGCGCACGGGUGCGUAACGCGUGGGAAUCUGCCCUUGGGUUCGGGAUAACAGUUGGAAACGACUGCUAAUACCGGAUGAUGUCUUCGGACCAAAGAUUUAUCGCCCAGGGAUGAGCCCGCGUAAGAUUAGCUAGUUGGUGGGUAAAAGCCUACCAAGGCGACGAUCUUUAGCUGGUCUGGAGAGGAUAGACUACGACG
rnacentral:rRNA from 1 species